UACCAGCACCCCGAGUGGUGGGGACGUUUAUUGGGCCUAAAGCAUCCGUAGCCGGUUCUACAAGUCUUCCGUUAAAUCCACCUGCUUAACAGAUGGGCUGCGGAAGAUACUAUGGAGCUAGGAGGCGGGAGAGGCAAGCGGUACUCGAUGGGUAGGGGUAAAAUCCGUUGAUCCAUUGAAGACCACCAGUGGCGAAGGCGGCUUGCCAGAACGCGCUCGACGGUGAGGGAUGAAAGCUGGGGGAGCAAACCGG
rnacentral:rRNA from 1 species